AUUUGUGUCUUUUUUGUAAAUAUAUCCAGUCCUUGCAAUAUGAUUAUGAACUUUAGCUAAAUUGAGGACUUUAUGUAAAUUUGUAUGCGGCAUAUAACAAAGUACGCAUUAUCAAAGUUGAGUUAUAGAAUUAUAGUGGCAUGCAGUCAUUGUUUGUUUUAUUAAGUUAACUAGUGCAUGUAGUGAUUAAGAAUCAAGUAAUGACAAAUAUAUGCACAAAAUAUUUAGAUUUAUAUACCAGUAAAAUAUCGUGUUAGUUUUCAUAG